GACGAACGCUGGCGGCGUGCUUAACACAUGCAAGUCGAACGGAAAGGCCCUUCGGGGUACUCGAGUGGCGAACGGGUGAGUAACACGUGGGUGAUCUGCCCUGCACUUUGGGAUAAGCCUGGGAAACUGGGUCUAAUACCGGAUAGGACCACGGCAUUCAUGUGCUGUGGUGGAAAGCUUUUGCGGUGUGGGAUGGGCCCGCGGCCUAUCAGCUUGUUGGUGGGGUAAUGGCCUACCAAGGCGACGACGGGUAGCCGGCCUGAGGGGGUGACCGGCCACAUUGGGACUGAGAUACGGCCCAACCUCUUAGGGGAGGAAGCAGUGGGGAUAUUGCACAAUGGGCGCAAGCCUGAUGCAGCGACGCCGCGUGAGGGAUGACGGCCUUCGGGUUGUAAACCUCUUUCGCCAGGGACGAAGCGCAAGUGACGGUACCUGGAGAAGAAGGACCGGCCAACUACGUG
rnacentral:rRNA from 1 species